GCAGAUAUUGGCCGAGAGGUUAAGGCGACUCACUCGAAAUCAGUUUCUAUCAUAGAGCGUAGGUUCGAAUCCUACUAUCUGCG
rnacentral:tRNA from 1 species